rnacentral:rRNA from 1 species
UACGGGGGGUGCAAGCGUUAUUCGGAAUUAUUGGGCGUAAAGAGCGCGUAGGCGGUUUUUUAAGUCAGAUGUGAAAGCCCGGGGCUCAACCUCGGAAGUGCAUUUGAUACUAUGAAACUUGAGUAUGGGAGAGGGAAGUGGAAUUCCUGGUGUAGAGGUGAAAUUCGUAGAUAUCAGGAGGAACACCGGUGGCGAAGGCGACUUCCUGGACCAAUACUGACGCUGAGGCGCGAAGGCGUGGGGAGCAAACAGGAGUAGAUACCCUGGUCGUCCACGCAGUAAACGUUGAGCACUAGGUGUAGCGGGUAUUGACCCCUGCUGUGCCGCAGUUAACGCAUUAAGUGUUCCGCCUGGGAAGUACGGUCGCAAGAUUAAA